rnacentral:rRNA from 1 species
CCAGCUAAGGUCCCAAAGUCAUGGUUAAGUGGGAAACGAUGUGGGAAGGCCCAGACAGCCAGGAUGUUGGCUUAGAAGCAGCCAUCAUUUAAAGAAAGCGUAAUAGCUCACUGGUCGAGUCGGCCUGCGCGGAAGAUGUAACGGGGCUAAACCAUGCACCGAAGCUGCGGCAGCGACGCUGAUGCGUUGUUGGGUAGGGGAGCGUUCUGUAAGCCUGCGAAGGUGACCUGUGAGGGUUGCUGGAGGUAUCAGAAGUGCGAAUGCUGACAUAAGUAACGAUAAAGCGGGUGAAAAGCCCGCUCGCCGGAAGACCAAGGGUUCCUGUCCAACGUUAAUCGGGGCAGGGUGAGUCGACCCCUAAGGCGAGGCCGAAAGGCGUAGUCGAUGGGAAACGGGUUAAUAUUCCCGUACUUGGUGUUACUGCGAAGGGGGGACGGAGAAGGCUAUGUUGGCCGGGCGACGGUUGUCCCGGUUUAAGCGUGUAGGUGUGUGUUCCAGGUAAAUCCGGUUCACUUUAACACUGAGGCGUGAUGACGAGGCACUACGGUGCUGAAGCAACAAAUGCCCUGCUUCCAGGAAAAGCCUCUAAGCAUCAGGUAACAUCAAAUCGUACCCCAAACCGACACAGGUGGUCAGGUAGAGAAUACCAAGGCGCUUGAGAGAACUCGGGUGAAGGAACUAGGCAAAAUGGUGCCGUAACUUCGGGAGAAGGCACGCUGACACGUAGGUGAAGUGAUUUACUCACGGAGCUGAAGUCAGUCGAAGAUACCAGCUGGCUGCAACUGUUUAUUAAAAACACAGCACUGUGCAAACACGAAAGUGGACGUAUACGGUGUGACGCCUGCCCGGUGCCGGAAGGUUAAUUGAUGGGGUCAGCGCAAGCGAAGCUCCUGAUCGAAGCCCCGGUAAACGGCGGCCGUA